UACGUAGGUGGCGAGCGUUGUCCGGAUUUACUGGGCGUAAAGGGCGUGCAGGCGGUUUGUUAAGUGCAGGGUGAAAGCUCCCGGCUCAACUGGGAGAGGUCCUUGCAUACUGGCGAACUCGAGGGAGGCAGAGGAAAGUGGAAUUCCCGGUGUAGUGGUGAUAUGCGUAGAUAUAUGAAAGAACAUCAAUAUGGCGAAGGCAGUUAACUAUUCUGCUACUGACAUUGAGGCAUGAAAGCGUGGGGAGCAAAACGG
rnacentral:rRNA from 1 species